GGAGCUAAUACCGGAUAAUAUAUUGAACCGCAUGGUUCAAUGUGAAAGACGGUUUUGCUGUCACUUAUAGAUGGAUCCGCGCCGCAUUAGCUAGUUGGUAAGGUAACGGCUUACCAAGGCAACGAUGCGUAGCCGACCUGAGAGGGUGAUCGGCCACACUGGAACUGAGACACGGUCCAGACUCCUACGGGAGGCAGCAGC
rnacentral:rRNA from 1 species